CAGUUUGAUAUGGACAAUAAAGAAACUGCCACAAAAUCCAUGCCCCCUGAUGACCAGCCCCUUAUAAUUCCACCACCGUUGUGGGAACUGUACUAAAAAGAGUCAACGCAAGUUCCUCCUGUCAUCGGAAGCAGCACCAGCACCUGCCUGCCAUCACCUGCCCACUUUGAGACUCAAAUCUUAAAAUACAGACAGUGUGAUUUGGGAUCUUGCCGUUUUGCUCAUAUCACUUCCUGUUCCGGCACUUGGAGGAUGGGCUUCCCCUUGUGUUAUAUGGCUUCAGGUGCAUGUAAACAGUCUGCAAAGUCUUAAGACGCAAAGUACAUAGCAAAGGGAGUAACUCUCACCACAGAAACCACUCUUCUCUCAUCUGCCUAAAACACCUCAUUGGAAUUCCAGCCCUUACUUUCACAACAUGAUGAGGUCUCUUCAUAACACAGUCCUUAUUGGCUGUCUACCUGCAAGGAUCCAUCUGCCGACUGCAAGACGGGGAUGAAUGGUAAGCUGAACAAUCAAACCACACUGGACUCAUUGGGGGUGGGAUUAGACAGAGGGUGAAUAGAGAUGUGCAUUAAUGAGAAAUGAUAUGUGAUUUUGGAACACUGAAUCAUGCAAACUCUAUUCUAGUAGAGCCUAAAAAUACAAUUUUAAACUGAAAGUGAGCAUAAUAAUGCACCUUUAAGCAACAGUAGGUUGCUGUCC